UACGAAGGGGGCUAGCGUUGCUCGGAAUUACUGGGCGUAAAGGGCGCGUAGGCGGAUAGUUCAGUCGGGGGUGAAAGCCCGGGGCUCAACCUCGGAACUGCCUUCGAUACUGGCUAUCUUGAGUACGGGAGAGGUGUGUGGAACUCCGAGUGUAGAGGUGAAAUUCGUAGAUAUUCGGAAGAACACCAGUGGCGAAGGCGGCUCACUGGACCGGUAUUGACGCUGAGGUGCGAAAGCGUGGGGAGCAAACAGG
rnacentral:rRNA from 1 species